AAGCAGUACAGUAUCUUAACAUGUAGCUCAAGUUAUGAUUAGGGAAAAUGAUACUCCUCACAAAUGAAUGGAUGCUUAAGAAAACCAUUUUUACUACGGGUGUGUUUAUGAGGGCCCGUCAAUGUUCAAGCGGGGCGUGAGCGUGCGUGUUUAUUGUUUUAUUAUAGGUAAUAAAUCAGCUCAGUCAUGACAUGGGAACAAAUUUUCAAUAAGGGCAUAGUUCGAAAGAAUCACUUUACAUUGUUUGAAAGGUUUUCUCAUCGUUUACAUUAACGUAUGAGGCUAACUUGGUCUGUCGCCACUUUUCAUGCGUUCGCAUAUUUUGUAAUUAUAAUUUGUACUAUUAAGUGUAAGACUGAAGUCAUGACAUGAAUGAAGAGCCGACAUUUACUGUGUUAUCAAAAAUGGGCGGCGGGGGAAAGUAGUCUGACUGAAUGUGGGUUAUUUAGCCUGUUAUAAAACGCUUCCGUUUGUUUGUUUAUUUUGUGGAUUCAUUUAGCAAUUGUUUACAUUUAGCAUUUUAUAUACAAUAGAAUUGAAUUUAUGAUUAACUUUAUGAAUGACGUGGCCCAUUUUAAAAAACAAAACUUUGCCAACCCGGUUCCUCUGCCUAACAGGCAUUGGCGAUGCUAGAGGGGGUGCUUGGGGGCACUGCCCCCCCAAAAGAAAAAAUCCUAGCUCCGGCAGGGUUUACAGGAACACUGCCUCCUCAUGAUAAUUUGAGGCCUGAGUGUGUAUGUUUGCUCCUCGCUCUUUCAUCCCAUCAAGUGUUCAUCAGUCCUUCCCUCAUCAAUCACAACACACAGCGGAUCGCUCAUCGACCGUGGGCCCCGCUUUCAAACGAUAACAUCUUUCCACCUCCAGACACGCUCGGACUGUAAAAUGCGCACGUGUAUGACGUGGAAUGUGAUCAUAGUCACUUUCAAAGUCUUUCUGCUAACACAGCAGGCGGCACUUACACCCCCCCCCCCCCAUAACACCCUCACGCAGCUUGCUGUUGGUCACCAAGGCACGUACAAAUGUAUACACAGGUACAGUUGCCAUGGUGACGGAUAGGCAGCCAUGCCGAAUGAGUGCACAGUCCCUCAGGACGUCGCCUUUGUCCAUCUAUCCAUGGCUCUCUUUUAGCGAUGACAAGACGUCUCCUCUAUGUCUGAAUCACCCCCACCCUGCUCUUUCUUCCUCAUCCUCUUCUUUCUCGCUUCAUUAUAGAUAAUACAUGUGUUUCUCUAGUUUUUCUUUGCAGGCCUACCAGUUUCACUUUCAACAUUUGUUCUCUGACCCUUUCGCCUCAAUUUAGCAAACGGCGUCGCUCGGUGGGGACUCGAAUCCCAGUCGAGUUGGUUCAUCCGGCGGACGCAAUAAACUGCAGGUUGGUUGGAGGCGUUUUGAGUGGCGGCUUCUUAUUAUGACGGAGAGGCUAUUGAGGGGUUGCAGUCCAAAAUUGCAAAAUAUUUAUUUUUUGCUGAAAUGACGUCAUAUAUCCUCAUUUAGCCCUGUUUUUGCCGUAUUUUAUGACACCUACUGGAAUAUCCAGUGGGUGUAUGUUGCACAAGUUUGCUACCAGACCUUCGCUCACUUUAGUUGCUCAAGCCUCUAAAAAACAAAUUGCAAAGUUGCAGAAUGUUUUUAAGUGGCCCCCACGGUAAAAUGUUGCAGAAUUGACCAAUCGGGGUAAAAUGUUAAAACAACACCCUCUGCUUUUAGCCUGCGUUGAUGCCCUUCCACCCGGUGACUGAUGACCCGCAUCACAUGACCUCUAAUAAAUAACGGUGCAACUCCACACCUCCCGUUUAUUGUGUGUAAGUUUACGUGUAUGUGUGCCUCAGUGACCUCCUCCUCCCCCUCCCCUUCCGCAUGUCCCUCGGCAUGUGAAACAUUUUUACAAGCCUGGCGUGAAGCUGUCCAUCAAACGGCAUAGAAAUAAAAAAAUAAAUACCCGGUAUCAUGCGCCCACAUGCAAAGAAGCUCUGAGACGCAGGAGACGCUCUCUUCCCUUCUCUUCUUCACCGGCCUUCUCUUUUUACACAUCUUCCGCUCAUCCAUCUUUCUCACCAUCAUUCAUCUUCUUUUCUAUCGCUCCCUAAAUAUCCCCCUCUGCUCAGAUACUCACUCGUCCGUGUUUGUUAUGAAGUCGGCAACUGCUGACUGGCUGGGUCGCGAUAUAGCAAUCUCAAAUUGCCGUGGUCGUCGACUAGUUCAAUCAAAUUUGUGUUUUAUGUUUUCACGGUAUCUUAGGACUGAACGUCAAGACUCGAGGCUGUCUUAACGGCUUCGUCUGGUGAUUAGUGUUUGAGGUUGUCUCGCUGAUGAGUGACUGCGAUGACCUCUGAGCUUUUUCCACCCUGAAAAGUGAUGAGAGGGAACCUUAAUGUCUCUCAAGAGAGACGUGCAAAUAAAGAAGCGGCGCCGUCGGGGAAGGAAAAGCUCGGACCAUUCCAAGAUCCCAAACAGAGUGGAGCGUCAAAAUACAUGCGAUAUAAACGGCUUUAUUGAUGGAGUCCAAUAACCUAGCGAAGGCACGCAGAAUGGCGACAACGCAGCUAUGUGAACUCCAAUCAUGCCAAGCUGGAUAUGAAUUAAGGCCUGUAGGGGGUGCUAUAUCUCACAAGUAGUUCUGAUCUCACGGGUCACUACCUCACUUGGCCCGACGCAAGCGGACUGUAACGAUGAGAGAUGGGCUACGACUCAACGGGUCCUCCUUGGCUUGUUAACUAAAUAAACGACCCGACAAACGCUGAUCAAAUUUUAAGCUGCCAAAUUUUAUGCUUGACAGAGGAAAUAACGAAUCCCCUUGUAGCAUGUUCUACUUUGCAUAUUUCCCAGUGGUCUCGAGAAGAUUUCCAAGCUAAUAUAAUCUGAUUUGUGUACACUUUAGCGUUGACGUCCAUCAGUGGCGUUGAGUCCGUGGUACGUGUACAACAUGAUGUGUAUCACCAGGAGAGUGCGGUACCUGUGGAGGAAACACAAAAGGUGGGAGACAAAGGGAAAAGCUAAAAGGAAGAAAAGCAUCACAGGGGCCUUGAUGGAGCGGCAAACAUCGAUGGAUGGGAGAGAACCAUCGAGAGCUCCGCUGGGGCAAAGGAGAAGGCUCGAGCGUGAAGAGGGAAAAAGACUAAGUGAGAUUAUUUUGCAGAGGUCGAAGACAAUGGGAGAAGGAUAGGGUGAAAGCCACAAAGGGAAGAGGAGAAGGCCGCAAAGGAAUCAUUCUCUUAGAUGUGUUGCACUCAGAAAGCUCUUCAGCUUCCCUUUGAGGAUGGACAUAAAGGAUGGACUUCCAUUUGUCCAUUAAUUAAUUAGUCCGUCUAAUUGACACCUUCUUUGUACAUACUUAUGCAUAGGAGCUGUGCAAGAUAGCGGCGGGUCAAAAAAAAAAAAAACACUCGUUUGAAAAAGUGACGUCAUUUGAUUUUUAUUCAUAAAUAAUCUCUGUUGUCGUUCAUCCAAAAACAGGAUACCAGGAUACGACCUCCUUUACGUGAGUUUGACAUCUUCAUCCCAUCAUUCCAUCCGCUUUUGUUGUGCCUGUUUUGUAUCCGCAUCAGUAGUAGGGUCGUGUUGUGCGCAAUGCAAGAGAAGCAUAAGGCGCGUUCUCCAGUUGCCUUGAUUGAAUAAUUAUUCAAAUCCUCGUAAUCUUUUUUUUUUUUUAAUUUCAUCUCCCUUUAAUAUGCCAGUAAUAUGUGAGCGCAUGAAUGACUUGGUGAAGGGGUGGUCACGAAAACAGUGGGCGAUGCACACUUUGUAAUUGCGCCUCAUUAUCCUCUGCAUUCCGCUCACGCCAGACAACCACAUAGGACGAGUGCCACUCACGAGCAAGUCAUCAACCAAUCAGAGGGUGGCAUUUGUCG